GGGAUCGCCCUUUGAUUACGCCCUGCCCUUUGUACACACCGCCCGUCGCUACUACCGAUUGAAUGAUUUAGUGAGGUCUUCGGACUGGUGCGCGGAGGCCGCAUCCACGGUCUCCGAUGUUGCUGGAAAGAUGACCAAACUUGAUCAUUUAGAGGAAGUAAAAGUCGUAACAAGGUUUCCGUAGGUGAACCUGCGGAAGGAUCAUUA
rnacentral:rRNA from 1 species